rfam:Zea mays cultivar B73 chromosome 4, whole genome shotgun sequence.
AUCUUUGCUCUUAGGGCAAUGACACAAAGUAGUGAGGUAACAUCGAGUCGUGUCAAUUGUUGGUUGAAAACUAUUUUCAACCCCACUUUCUAACCCACUCUCUUAAAUCUUGUUCGGUUAUUCCAAUUUCAAAUGUAUUGGACUGGAUUAGGAGGAAUUAGAAGAAAUUUUGACUU